AAACCAACUGGGAUUACCUUAGUAACGGCGAGUGAAGCGGUAAAAGCUCAAAUUUGAAAUCUGGUACUUUCAGUGCCCGAGUUGUAAUUUGUAGAAUUUGUCUUUGAUUAGGUCCUUGUCUAUGUUCCUUGGAACAGGACGUCAUAGAGGGUGAGAAUCCCGUUUGGCGAGGAUACCUUUUCUCUGUAAGACUUUUUCGAAGAGUCGAGUUGUUUGGGAAUGCAGCUCAAAGUGGGUGGUAAAUUCCAUCUAAAGCUAAAUAUUGGCGAGAGACCGAUAGCGAACAAGUACAGUGAUGGAAAGAUGAAAAGAACUUUGAAAAGAGAGUGAAAAAGUACGUGAAAUUGUUGAAAGGGAAGGGCAUUUGAUCAGACAUGGUGUUUUUGCAUGCACUCGCCUCUCGUGGGCUUGGGCCUCUCAAAAAUUUCACUGGGCCAACAUCAAUUUUGGCGGCAGGAAAAUCUUUGGAAUGUAGCUACCUCGGUAGUGUUAUAGCCUUUUGAAAUACUGUCAGCUGGGAUUGA
rnacentral:rRNA from 1 species